rnacentral:rRNA from 1 species
GACGAACGCUGGCGGCGUGCUUAACACAUGCAAGUCGAACGGAAAGGCCCUGCUUUUGUGGGGUGCUCGAGUGGCGAACGGGUGAGUAACACGUGAGUAACCUGCCCUUGACUUUGGGAUAACUUCAGGAAACUGGGGCUAAUACCGGAUAGGAGCUCCUGCUGCAUGGUGGGGGUUGGAAAGUUUCGGCGGUUGGGGAUGGACUCGCGGCUUAUCAGCUUGUUGGUGGGGUAGUGGCUUACCAAGGCUUUGACGGGUAGCCGGCCUGAGAGGGUGAACGGCCACAUUGGGACUGAGAUACGGCCCAGACUCGUACGGGAGGCAGCGGUGGGGAAUAUUGCACAACGGGCGGAAGCCUGAUGCAGCAACGCCGCGUGCGGGAUGACGGCCUUCGGGUUGUAAACCGCUUUCGCCUGUGACGAAGCGUGAGUGACGGUAAUGGGUAAAGAAGCACCGGCUAACUACGUG